AGGAAUAUUGGUCAAUGGACGAGAGUCUGAACCAGCCAAGUAGCGUGAAGGAUGGCUGCCCUAUGGGUUGUAAACUUCUUUUAUAUGGGAAUAAAGUGCAGUAUGUAUACUGCUUUGCAUGUACCUUAUGAAUAAGGAUCGGCUAACUCCGUGCCAUCAGCCUCGGUAAUACGGAGGAUCCGAGCGUUAUCCGGAUUUAUUGGGUUUAAAGGGAGCGUAGGCGGGUUGUUAAGUCAGUUGUGAAAGUUUGCGGCUCAACCGUAAAAUUGCAGUUGAUACUGGCAUCCUUGAGUACAGUAGAGGUAGGCGGAAUUCGUGGUGUAGCGGUGAAAUGCUUAGAUAUCACGAAGAACUCCGAUUGCGAAGGCAGCCUGCUGGACUGUAACUGACGCUGAUGCUCGAAAGUGUGGGUAUCAAACAG
rnacentral:rRNA from 1 species